CCAGUAACAUCCUGUGAAAAAGCAGCUCACGUUGUGCAGCAUAGUUUUUUGUUUUUUUUUUGGAUUACCUUGAGCUGCACAGCAAUGAUUUUUUUCACCUAAGACUAUGGGUACUAUGAUUGACAGAACUCUUUUACAUUAAAAAAAAAAAAAACAGCACUAUGUGUUCAAAUGGCCACAAUUGUCUGGUUUUUAGGAGAACCUUUAACCACUGAUCAAUAAUUCUUUCCAUGUAUUUCACCCUUCUGUAGUGGAUCAAUGUCUCUGGGUGAAGUAUUUGCUUUCGAAACCAAAAUGAUGUGUUAAUUUUUCCAGAUUUUUAUCCAUAUUUGGGUUUGCUUUACGGUGAAGAGAUUCAAACCCUCCCCCCCUUCCUUGAGUCUGAUGAUGCAGAUCAUGUGUUAUUUAAGCUGGUUUUAUAGUCGUCCCUUUGAUUCCUUUGUCGUUAGUAUUACCAGUCACACUUUGGUAUUUUUUCAGAUCCAAGGGAUAAAAUUGAAGUCAUUUUUGCCUCAGCUCUUGAGGGUCAUCAUGUGAUCAGGACUUACAUUUCAAACAUAUCACAUGGCUGACUUUUUCUCAGCUUGACACGAUGACAAGGAUUGGGCCCCAUGACUUUUUGUGUGCUUCUGUGCGUGUGUGUACCACAUUGUAUUGAUGAUGUUUGGUGACUUUCCUCAUGAGGAAUUGAUUUUAUUGUAUUAGUUUAUUAUGACUUUUAUUUAUUGGCAUUAUAGCUUAAGGAUGACCUGUGCUUGGUUUGUUUUAUUGACUGAUGACUUUUCCUGUUUUAGUUUAUCACAGUCUCUCAACCAUUAAGCACUGAAAGGUUUCUCACAGUUACAUCAGUAUUAUCUUGUGCAAUUCAUUGAAAAUAUUAUUUUUAUCUUUUUUUUUUCUCCCCCAUCCAUGUUUGAUUGCUUUGUCUUUUUGUAACAGACCAAAUCUCUCUCUCUCUCUCUCUCUCACACACACACACACACACACACACACACACAAAGGAGCUGGGUGUUGAAUCUUCUUCGUGGUUUCUGUAUCUUUUAUGAACUGCCUUCAACAGGAAGUCGUCUGAUCUCUCCACUUUAUUUAGAGGACGAAAUGCCUGCAGUCACCUCUGUGUACUGUUGUCACUCAGUAUAGAAAAUGUGCCAGCAUGUCUCCACCCUGAACAAGCCAGACGCCACACUACGCUGCUCCACCGUUGACUUUACUUGACUUGAAAACCGCUGACUUGAUGAACCAAAGACUCCACUGUCCAGAGGCCUUCUGUUGUUGUUCAGAGUGCCACCAAAAACAGGACACACACCCCCCCCCCACUCCCCGGUCUUGUUAGUAACACGACAACGCUUAGAUUUUUAAAUCUGACCUGGGAAACUUUAAGAUGUUUACCUAUGGAGAUGAGUAUUUUUGAUUUUAUUUACUGGUUUCUCCCGCUCUCCCUCCUGUGUACAGUUUAAGUGUAAUGUCUGGUUCCUGUUUCUGGGACAGCAGCAGCAGCAAAUAUCUCAAUGCAGUGUAAAAAGAUUCUCUUGUACAUUUGUCUUUUCUACUCAUGUUUGGUUUUUCUAUUUCAUUAUUUUCUCCUUGUACAUAAAGAACAAUAAAUUAUUUUUAAAAAAUGUGUCAGUUUGCUGUAUUUAGAACCAGAGUCACUGGUUUUGAUUGUGGAAGCUAAGCUAACCCGACAUGUAGGUAAGAAAAUGUUUUUUUUUUUUUUUUCAGUGUGUCAGUAAAAUAUGUUAACAGACAUAUUGCAUUUUUGGGGGGUGGAAUUUACCAGAUGUUGUUACUAAAUAUUGUCUUUUUGUAUUUUUUAAAAAUCUAAUUUUACUAAUCUUCCAGUGAAUUUUAACUUUUGUCCAGUGAAUUUUAACGAUGACGUCAGCACUCUGAAGUCCAGUGAUUGGGUGGUCAUGGAGUCGGUCAGAGCUAACUAGCUGCACCUGUAGCAACCUGCUAAAGUUUUCCAUUUUACCGAUGUUUUUAUUCACAGUCACAAUAUUUUUAGGAAACAAGAGUUCCAAGGCCUCCUUUGAUACAAGUAAUCCCAACGGUGUCAAUAUAGAACAACCAAGAAAAAAUGGACGUUGACGGUCACUACUCUCCUCGGCAUCUGUCUCUGCGAUGCGGAGUGAUGACGUGCCGUCCCUCAGUAUCGGUACAUGUUGUAGGUGCUGACCCAAUACGAAGGAAAGGCCCACGGGGGGAACCUCGGGAGGAUUUUCUCCAGCUCUGCAGUCCGCUGGUCUUUGCCAAAGAAAUAAUGACAGGAGAUGGCGACGGAGAUCAUUCCCUCAGGUCCGGAUGGGUCUGGAUUUGCUGGAGGCUAACGACGAGAGAUGGUUAUGCUCCGUACAUGCUCCUGACCUUUAGCACUGAAGGUCAUCUUGAUCGUCCCCCACCUCGUCUCCUCUUUGGACACCAGGCUGAACUCCACAGGAAGGCUGGGAGACACUUCUGGAGCAGGAAGGAAAACACGUUUUGGUCGAGGACUCUCUGGACUUCCUGAGUAAGGAAAGAAGAAGCCGCCAGACACCAACAGGAAGAAGACGAUGAAGACAGAGCCCAGACCAAUCAGGAUCCACUUGGUGCUCCGGACCAAUAAGAGGAGAGGAAGAUGGUGGUGAGGGUGACCAGGGAGGCCAGCACCACUUCCGGAGGGAUCUCCGUGCCACUGCGCCCCAUGAUGGGUGUGAAGAUCUCAAACACCACCCAGAUGAGGAACAUGAAGUGGACGUAUGGCAACGCCAGGCCCAGCAGCAGUCUGGUGACCAGGGGAAAGGCCACCAUGAGCAUGGGGACGUAGGCUGAACACAGGUCCUGCUGCGUCAACCACACCAGGCUGCAGCACCACAGCAGCAAACUCACGUCAAAAUACAGAUCGCCCAGCUCCACC